rnacentral:rRNA from 1 species
AUGGCCUUGUGCCGGCGGCGUAUCUUUCAAAUGUCUGCCCUAUCAACUUUCGAUGGUAGGUGACAUGCCUACCAUGGUUGUAACGGGUAACGGAGAAUCAGGGUUCGAUUCCGGAGAGGGAGCCUGAGAAACGGCUACCACAUCCAAGGAAGGCAGCAGGCGCGCAAAUUACCCACUCCCGGCACGGGGAGGUAGUGACGAGAAAUAACAAUGCUGGGCUUCAAGUCCGGUAAUUGGAAUGAGUACACUUUAAAUCCUUUAACGAGGAUCUAGUGGAGGGCAAGUCUGGUGCCAGCAGCCGCGGUAAUUCCAGCUCCACGAGCAUGUACGUAAGUUGUUGCAGUUAAAAAGCUCGUAGUUGGAUCUCAGGCUUGUGGCCAGUGGUCCGCCCGAUACGGGUGUGCACUGCUGUGCCCGGUCUACGUCUGGUCUAAACGUCCGUAGUGCCCUUAACCGGGUGCUGCGGAAUGCCAGAAGGUUUACUCUGAAAAAAUUAGAGUGCUUAAAGCAAGCCGUUUGUGCUUGAAUACUGUUGCAUGGAAUAAUGGAAUAGGACCUCGGAUCUAUUUUGUUGGUUUUCGGAGUCGAGGUAAUGAUUAAGAGGGACAGACGGGGGCAUUCGUAUUGCGCCGUUAGAGGUGAAAUUCUUGGAUCGGCGCAAGACGAACAACUGCGAAAGCAUUUGCCAAGGAUGUUUUCAUUAAUCAAGAACGAAAGUCAGAGGUUCGAAGACGAUCAGAUACCGUCGUAGUUCUGACCAUAAACGAUGCCAACUGGCGAUCCGCCGUAGUCUGCUUUAAAGGACUCGGCGGGCAGCCUCCGGGAAACCUAAGUCUAUGGGUUCCGGGGG